GACGAACGCUGGCGGCGCGCCUAACACAUGCAAGUCGAACGGAGUUUACAAGCGGAAGUUUUCGGAUGGAAGCUUGUAAACUUAGUGGCGGACGGGUGAGUAACACGUGAGCAACCUGCCUAUCAGAGGGAAAAGGAGCAAUCCGCUUUGAGAUGGCCUCGCGUCCGAUUAGCUGGUUGGUGAGGUAACGGCCCACCAAGGCGACGAUCGGUAGCCGGACUGAGAGGUUGAACGGCCACAUUGGGACUGAGACACGGCCCAAACUCCUACGGGAGGCAGCAGUGGGGAAUAUUGCACAAUGGAGGAAACUCUGAUGCAGCGACGCCGCGUGAGCGAUGAAGUAUUUCGGUAUGUAAAGCUCUAUCAGCAGGGAAGAUAAUGACGGUACCUGAGUAAGAAGCUCCGGCUAAAUACGUG
rnacentral:rRNA from 1 species